rnacentral:rRNA from 1 species
GGSAGGSCCAACACAUGSAAGUCGAACGGKAGCACAGAGGAGCUUGSUCCUUGGGUGACGAGUGGSGGACGGGUGAGUAAUGKCUGGGAAACUGSCCGAUGGAGGGGGAUAACUACUGGAAGCGGKAGCUAAUACCGCAUAACGUCGCAAGACCAAAGAGGGGGACCUUCGGGSCUCUUGSCAUCGGAUGKGSCCAGAUGGGAUUAGCUAGUAGGKGGGGKAACGGSUCACCUAGGCGACGAUCCCUAGCUGGKCUGAGAGGAUGACCAGCCACACUGGAACUGAGACACGGKCCAGACUCCUACGGGAGGSAGCAGUGGGGAAUAUUGSACAAUGGGSGCAAGSCUGAUGCAGCCAUGCCGCGKGKAUGAAGAAGGSCUUCGGGUUGKAAGGKACUUUCAGCGAGGAGGAAGGSAUUAAGGKUAAUAACCUUAGUGAUUGACGUUACUCGCAGAAGAAGCACCGGCUAACUCCGUGCCAGCAGCCGCGGUAAUACGGAGGGUGSAAGCGUUAAUCGGAAUUACUGGGCGUAAAGCGCACGCAGGCGGUCUGKCAAGUCGGAUGUGAAAUCCCCGGGCUCAACCUGGGAACUGCAUCCGAAACUGGCAGCUAGAGUCUUGUAGAGGGGGGUAGAAUUCCAGGUGUAGCGGUGAAAUGCGUAGAGAUCUGGAGGAUACCGGUGGCRAAGCGCCCCCUGGACAAGACUGACGCU